GCUUUCGUAGCUCAAUUGGUCAGAGCAUCCGACUUUUAGAACACACCAAGUGUCUAAAGGUCAUCGGAAGGCUGUGGGUUCGAGUCCCACCGAUAGCG
rnacentral:tRNA from 1 species